rnacentral:rRNA from 1 species
AUCAACUUUCGAUGGUAGGAUAGAGGCCUACCAUGGUGGUAACGGGUAACGGGGUGUUAGGGCACGACACCGGAGAGGGAGCCUGAGAAACGGCUACCACAUCCAAGGAUGGCAGCAGGCGCGCAAAUUACCCAAUCCCGACACGGGGAGGUAGUGACAAUAAAUAACAAUACGGGGUUCUUUAGGAUCUCGUAAUUGGAAUGAGUACAAUUUAAAUCUCUUAACGAGGAACAAUUGGAGGGCAAGUCUGGUGCCAGCAGCCGCGGUAAUUCCAGCUCCAAUAGCGUAUAUUAAAGUUGUUGCAGUUAAAAAGCUCGUAGUUGAAUUUCGAGACCGGUCUACUGGUCGUGCUUUUGUACGUACUGGUUUUAUUGGUUUCUCCUUUCUGACGAACUAUAAUGCCAUUAAUUUGGUGUUAUAGGGAAUCAGGACUGUUACUUUGAAAAAAUUAGAGUGUUUAAAGCAGGCUCACGCUUGAAUACAUUAGCAUGGAAUAACGGAAUAGGACGUUUGACUUUAUUUUGUUGGUUUCUAGGAUCGACGUAAUGAUUAAUAGGGAUAGUCGGGGGCAUUAGUAUUCAAUUGUCAGAGGUGAAAUUCUUGGAUUUAUUGAAGACUAACUACUGCGGAAGCAUUUGCCAAGGAUGUUUUCAUUAAUCAAGAACGAAAGUUAGGGGAUCGAAGACGAUCAGAUACCGUCGUAGUCUUAACCAUAAACUAUGCCGACUAGGGAUCGGAUGAUGUUAAUUUUUUAAUGACUCAUUCGGCGCCUUACGGGAAACCAAAGUGUUUGGGUUC